rnacentral:lncRNA from 1 species
CAAUUAAAAAAUGUGCAAAGAACCUGAAUAGACAUUUUUUCAAAGACACACAAAUGGCCAAUAGCCAAGAUAUGAAAACAACCUAAGUAUCCAUCAACAGAUAAAUGGAUCAAGAAAAUGUGGUAGAUUUAUAUACAAUGGAAUAUUUUAGAGCCACAAUUACGAAGAAAAUUCUGCCACUUGCCACAACCCAGAGGCAAUUGAAAGACAUCAUGCUAAGUAAAAUAAUCCAGACAGAGAAUGACAAAUACUGCAUGAUCUCACUUGUUUGUGGAAUAAAAAAAAAAUGUCAAACUCAUAGUAACAGAGUAGAACGGUGUUUACCAGAGGCUGUAGGGAAAUGGAGAGUUAUUGAUCACUUUCAGUUAUAAGACAAGUAAGUUCUAAAGACUUUAUGUAUAUCAUAGUCAAUAAUAAUGUAUUAGAAACUUUUAAUUUGCUAAGAUCUCUAGGGUCCUCACUAUAUAGAAAGAAAAAAAAAGGAAAUUUGGGAGGUGAUGGAUAUAUUAGUUCCACGGAGGAAAUAAUUUUACAAUUAUUAUAUAUAUCAAAACAUACUGUAUAUCUAAAUACAUACAAUUUUUGAUUUGUCAAAAAUAAAAAUAAAUAAAUACAAAAUAAAAAACAGCCUUAAAGUUUCAAUUGCCAGAUCCAAAAAUGAUGAGUAAGUAUUGGUAUCAUAUUUAAACUCUUAGUGUCUCUAUUUUUCAUCUGUAAAACAAGGAUAAUAUCUACCUCAUAGGAAUGUCUUAAGUGUGGUAGGUAGUUUCUUAAAAGACUCUUAGUAUUCACAUCCUUGUGUAAUCUAUUCCCCUCAAGUGUGGGCAGAUGUAACAAUUCACUCCUAAUAAAAUGUAGCCAAUGUAAUAGGACAUUAUUUCCGAUAUUAAACUACAAAGGACAGUGAAUUCCAUCUUGCUUUUCUCGUUCUCCUACUUGCUUUCAGGGAAACCAGCUACCAUGUUAUGGGUUGUCCUACCCAACAGCUGGUAAAGAACUGAGACUUUCACUCCACUCACCAGUGGGAAACAUGGUCCAACUAUGUAAGUGUAUAUGGAGACAUGAGACUACAAUCCCGUUUAACACUUUGUUUGCCUUCUUGUGAAAGGCCAUGGGACGCGUGGCCCAUGUAAGCCAGACCCAGAUUCAUGCCUACAGAAACUGUGGAAUAAAAAUGUUGCUUUGAACCAUUAAUUUAGGGUAAAUCCAUACCCAGCAAUAGAUAACAAACACAAUAUAUUGUUAUCCAUAGAUCUGCUGAAAUACAGGUCUGGGCCUAGAUGAAGGCACUGAAAUUUAAAAGCAUAUCAAGAAGUAGAGUUUGCCUUAAAUUAGGAUGCUUGUGCAUAAAGAUUGAGUUGGAAGAGGGUAAGACAAAUCCUUAGGGAUAACCAGUAUUUUCGGAAAAUAAGAUCCAUCAGUGAAGAGAAAUUCAUGUUCACGGCCAAAACAAGCAGUUAUAAAGUUAAAACUGAGAAAUGGGAGAGAGCCAAAGGAGGAGAGAAUUUCAAGAAGGAAGUUAAAUACCAGGGGUGAAGGAAGAGGAGUAAUAUUUGUUAAAAACUCAUUAUGAUACUGGCACUUACAGGUGUUUUGAAAGUACUAACUUAUUUUGAUGCUCAUAAUAUUAAAACAAAAUUAUCCCCAUCUUACAGAUAAGAAACAUACUCAAAAGAGGGAAAUUUCUUACCCAAAGUCACACAGCUAAUGUGAGGAAGUAUCAGAAUUCAAAUCCACAUCUGUCAGACUCUAAUCCCCUGCUUCUUUCACUGAUAUACAAUGACUCACUGACUUGUCUGUUGAGCUUAUAAAGCUUUCAUAUAUAACAAACCUCCCCAGACUGAUAUAAAAUCCCAUGGAGGAGGUUAGGAAGUUCCUCUGCAACCACUGUAUGGUGCCCGGGCUUUCCAUUUGAUGUUCCUCAAGAAAUUACAUUCUCUCACAACUCUGCACAUACUGGAAGGACUACUCUUCCCUCCUCCCUUAGUGACAUCCUUCAGAUACCACUUAAGCAUUACCUCCUCCAAUAAGAUCAACUUCCUAUCUCAGGUGGGGUUGGUGGCUCGAAGCUCAGAUUUGUAUCUUCUUAUAAGCACUAACUAUGCUCUGUUUUUAUUUAUUUAUUUAUUUUUGUCUUUUAUUUUUUUGCUAUUUCUUGGGCCGCUUCUGUGGCAUAUGGAGGUUCCCAGGCUAGGGGUUGAAUCGGAGCUGCAGCCACCGGCCUACGCCAGAGCCACAGCAACGCGGGAUCCAAGCCGCAUCUGCAACCUACACCACAGCUCAUGGCAACGCCGGAUCGUUAACCCACUGAGCAAGGGCAGGGAUCGAACCCGCAACCUCAUGGUUCCUAGUCGGAUUCGUUAACCACUGCGCCACGACGGAAACUCCUGCUCUGUUUUAAUUGUUGCUUUAGGUCUCCAUCUCUUCCAUCAUAGGCUGUGUCUAUACUUGCUGUCAUAAUUUCUAUAUGCCUGACUUUUAACGGAUUUUUGGAUAUUUGUGAGCUGUAGAUGGAAUGAAUAAAUGGGUGAAAGGACACUGGUUAAAUCAUGAUGAUGACAUACAAUGAGAAAGGCAGAAGAAUGAUAAGCAGAAGCAAGAACAAAUAUGAAAGUCUAAAAUCAUAAAAGAGCACGGAGUAUACAUACAGAAGAGAAAAUAUUUCCGUAUGGAAAUUCAAUGCUCACUUCAUCACACAUAUACUAAAUUCAGAACCAUAUGGCUAUGGAAUUCACUAGGAGGAGCAGAAAAAGAGGUGGCAAAGCUAAGAACUGUAAGGAUAGACACUGUUAGUUGCUGUCUGGUAGUCAUAUUAUAACAAAGAGCAAACCUGACUCCAUACUGGAUCCAGUCCUUUAACUCUAAUCCUUGUGCACUGCUGCCUGUGCUUAAUCAUGCCAACUCUCCACCUUUUGUACAAAAAGAAUGUUGCCUAGAGCCUGAAAUAUACCUGACAGUUCCUUCUCCAUGUUUUGACACUUUUUCCCCUUCAUAUAGAGAUAAAAAGUUGCCGAACAGAAAAUAAAAAACUGUGACCAGUCCUACCUGGACAGCUGCACGAACAAGGAUUUGUGCAUCAAGACGUUGGCAGCAACCAGCCACCCCAAACACACAUUCCGCCUCACCCUUUUAGUAUAAAAGCAGCCUGAAUUCUAACCAGUAAGAUCACCCUUUGGGACAGAAGUCCACUAUCUUAUGGGUCUGCUGCCUUUCUGAAUAAAGCUGCUAUUCCUUGCCCCAACACCUCCUCUCUGGAUUUAUUGGCCACCGCAGUGAGCCAAUAUGAGCUUCCACUCGGUAACAAUAUCUCCUGUCUCCUUCCUAACAGAACUCUGAGUGCAGAAGUUCACUUGUAUUUAACCAAAUGCUUCAGGGGCUGCUCAUCUCCAGGCUUAGGAAGGAAGAAAGGGAGGUGGGGGGUCCUGCUGUCCUAAAAUAAUCCUGAUGUGUACAUCCCUCUUGCCAGGUUGGUGGAGCUAUGAGUAUGUGAUGCAGCAUACAUAGCCAUGUGCUUAUGACCAGUAGAAACUUCAUUUAUAUUAGUUAGUCAUUACCUACUAAUUGGGGUGAUCUCAGGCUACUAUUAUUACCACAUAAUAGUAACUGUCAUAUACUGAGCACAUGCCAUGAACAGUAACAAGCACUUUAGACAACUCAUGUAUAAAGGAGCCCUAUGAGCGAUCUCUUCUCUGGGGCAAGGGUUUAGGACUGGCUUAAUUUCUAGACAAUUUAUUUUAAUUUGCAUUAGCUAAUCUAUUUUGUUCAAUCACUCUUUGACCCUUGUGGGAAGAAAGAGAAAAAACCUAUUUAUUACACAUCAAGGUCACAUGAAAGAAGAUUCUUUAUGACCAGAUAUUCCUCCCCAGGUAGAUUUCAGUACAGAUUGCAGUAUUGAUUUCAAUGAACUUACCUUGGCAAAAGCUUGACUGCUGCAGGCCCGUCAUUUGAGUCACACGUUAAUUAAUGCUCACGGAGGCUGGACCCGGCUCUCCUGUCUGCUAGGCGGCCGCCUCCUUCCCACUGCCCCCACUGCCCGGGCAGGACAGCAGCAUAGCAGCAUGUGGCGACCUCACCUGUGCUUCGUUAUCCUAUCACACAGGGCAGUAUGCACCUUAAGAUCCCGAAGAAAAGGCGCAAAAUAUUCUAGUAAUGUUUAGAAAUCAUUUGCGAUGUGCGCGAGGAAACUAUGCGGUCUUCAGAACACAGUCUCAGGCAUGUCGAACUUCAUUCUCUCUGGACUGAAAAUGAAAAUGGUCCGCCUCUUCCUCCGACGACGUGGCUGUUACUGCCUGGUUCACCCUCACAGCAGCAGCAAGACCGGCGCCUUCAUGACGUAGCUUCCGGUGGCGAAUGCGGAUUGCCACGCUCCUGCGCUCCAAGGACUUCCGGUACUCGGGGGUCCACGAGGUCUUUUUAACGCAAGAGGUGCUCGCUUUGCCUCUCGGUUAAGGACCCUGCUCACCUACCCGAGAGGCAGUCCCCAAAGGCGGUGAUAAUAAAGAAUAGGUAGAAGAGUUUGCAGCUGAAGCCGGAAGAAGUGAUCUACAAGCACCCACAGUGCCGCUGUAUCAAGCGCAGCAUGCCCACUGCACUACAGGACUUGCAAAAGAGGUAUUGGGAAAUAUAUCAGCACUGCCCUGGGUGCACAAUUGAGUAGGAGGAAAGAAGCAGAGGGUUUUUUGUGCCCUUCACUUGGUACAAAGCUCUGUCAUCAGCGCCACGCUAGUCCUUUGCGGGCUCCAGUUCAUCUGGAAACGUGGGCAGUGGUUUGAAUGCAGUGAUAUUUCGCCUCCUGUAACUAUAAUCCUGCUGAUCUUUCUGUGCCUUGAGGGUCUCUGUCUUUUCACUUUCACUGCAGUGAUGUUCUGAAUCCACUUCAGUUCAAUAUGCAAUGACAAAACGGAGAUCCAGUGGCUGAAGAGUAAGAAGCCCAUGUGUGAGUGGAGUCUGCCAUGGGAAGGGAUAAAGUUGGUCUCUGGGGGCUCCCCUCGAUGCUCUGAAUGAACCCCUUCGUCAGCUUGCAGUUUAAGCGACUUCAAAUGAGACCCUGGAAAGGCGACCCAGAGUUCUCUGUGAGGCCCUCUCAUCGUGCUGGAACUUGUUAAUGCACUGUUUAUUUGGGGGUUGGAACCGGUAUCAACAGUCUAUCCAUGGAACCUACACAAACUCUGCUGCUUGCAGCAAGCAGAGUUUUAUAUAUUUCUAGUCACAGUUGGCAGAUUUCCCACACUAGUAUCUGGGUGGUGCUCUGAUCAUUGUCACUGUCCAAUAAGGAAGGCAUAUGGCGACAUGAAAAAGCCAAAUGUCGUUAUCUUCCUGUAGUUAGGCGUUUUACCUUGCAUUUUCUAAGAUGUGUGAGAUAUUACAAGUGCUGUUAAAAUAUGGUGUGCAGAGCUGCUUUUCUCACUCAUAAAGAAAACAAGCCAAUCCAGUGAACAAGAAUUCUGCAAGGGGUGGUUUCAGGGACUCC